CAGGGUGAAUGGGGUGUGUGUGUGUGUGGGAAACAUCUGAAGGGGAAAUGGCAUUUGAAGCAGGAGGCAGCCCUGGGAAGUUCUGGGAAGAGGGGCCAGCCAGUGCAAAGGCCCUGGGGUGGGAAUGAGUUGGUGAAUAUUAGGGACGGCAGGGAGGCCAGUGGGCUGAGUGAGGCGAAAAGGGGACGGGCAAGGCCUUGGAGGUCAGAGAGAGGCUCAGUGGGCAAGCUGCCCUCCUACGACCCCUUCUCCUGCCCUGUGGUGCCGCCUAAGGGCCUGUCCUGUGGAUGAAUGAGCAUUUAGUAAGCACCUCCUGUGUGCCAGGCUGUCCUGGGUACUUCAUCCAUGUGAUUUGAUUUCAUCCUGUAGCAGCUCCUCCCAGGCUGACUGUCAGAGAAGAACAAAUGGGAGAGGCCUGCGUUUAUCCACAGCCACUUCGAGCAGGCGUCCCUGACCCAGGCUCUGUCCCUUGAGGCCCUCUGUUCUAGCUCAGCUGGAAAAGGACUUGUCUGCACGAGCAGAUUGUCCUCUGGUUCGGCUUCUUAGGGAAAGGAGUGGGAAAGGUCAAGAGGAGACUCGGAUCCCGGCAGGCGCCCAAGGAGACUUGCCAGGAAGCAGGGCCAUGCUGGCCCAGGCCUUUGGGGUUGGAAUGGAUGAGCUCCUACUCGAAGGGAAAUGGUCCCCAGGGGCCCUGCUGUGCUGGGAAAAUGAGUGAGAAUCUAGGGCUGAAGGGCAAACAGAAUGGUGUGAGAAGCUCCCGCAAAGCUCCUUUGCCCCCAGCUUGUAAGCCCAGCGGAUGCUUGGAAUUCCACCAUUAAUGAUUGACUCAUUGGUGGUAAGCUCUGCUUUUGGCUCCUCUUCUUGUAAGAUGCAAGUCCCCUUUGGAAAAAAAGAGUAAGACGAUGAAGUCUCAAACCCAAUAUGGUGAUAGAGAUUGUAAAUGAUGGGGUGGAUGCCGGACAACUCUGAGCAGCCUUCAGAUUUAGAGCUCCCCAUGGGAUCAACAGAAGCUUUUGUUGGGGCUACACCACUGCCCGUCUUCUCCCUCUGCUCAGUCCAGCUUUCUUAACCAGCCUUCCACAAGUGUUGAUCCCAGGAACAUUCCUGAAUAGAUACCCUGCAUGCUGACUUCCACCUCAGAGUUGGUUUUCUGGGCAUCUGACCUGUAACAAUGAAGGAAUCAAGAUGGGGACCGAAUGCAACGCUGCACGUGCAAACGCUCUGUCAACUAGGGAAUACUGUACAAGUGAUUGGAUCACUGUUAACCACCAGUAAAGAUGGAAACCAAGGGUACCUGUAAUUUCAUUACAUCGCCACAGGCCGGAGCGCCCACCAAUCCGGUUCCAACAUUUUUAGCUGUCUUGUCAAGGGACCCCACGUUUCGGGGAUUUUCAUAAUGAUCAACAACCUGAAACGAGAGGGUGAAGAGAAAUCACAAUUACUCUUUUUUGGUAUUGAUCUCCCCGACUUUGAUGGCACGUUUGAAGUCAGCAAACCGAACCCAGCAGGUGUCACGAAAUACCAAGUUUUACCUGGGCGGGAAGGCUUAUGCUCAGGUCAAUGAGAACCACUGGCCACCCAAAGUCUUUGUGUGUCGCCUCUCCAAUUACCUUCAGAGAUUCAUAAUAAGGCAGAAAAAUCUGCAAGAUCUGGCUUUGUUCUGCAGGGUUUUGAACCACAAAUAAUUGACCUUUAACCACCUGAGGCAUCAGAGUUGGGCUCAAACACCAUUUUUUAUCUCCAUAAGAUACAUCUCAAAGGAUCUAUCAAAGCAUAAUACUUACCAUUCAAAAAUUGUAAAAGUAAGUAUGGUCCAGAAAUAAGUGUUUCCCAGAAGCUUCAAGGAGACUAUUACAGGAGGGACAAGACUAGGAAUGCGUCCACUUGUGGGCGAUAAUAAAUAAAAA